AUACGGAGGGUGCGAGCGUUAAUCGGAAUUACUGGGCGUAAAGCGCGCGUAGGCGGUUUGGUCAGUCGGAUGUGAAAGCCCCAGGCUCAACCUGGGAAUGGCAUUCGAUACUGCCUGACUAGAGUAUGGUAGAGGGAAGUGGAAUUUCCGGUGUAGCGGUGAAAUGCGUAGAUAUCGGAAGGAACACCAGUGGCGAAGGCGACUUCCUGGGCCAAUACUGACGCUGAGGUGCGAAAGCGUGGGGAGCAAACAGGAUUAGAAACCCUGGUAGUCC
rnacentral:rRNA from 1 species